rnacentral:lncRNA from 1 species
CAGUGCCUCACCACCCUCACUGUAAAAGACUUCUUCCUUAUAUCUAACCUGAAUCUAUCCUCUUUGAGCUUGAAGACAUUUCUCCUUGUUCUAUCACCACAGAUUCUCCUAUCUUCUUUCAAAAACACAUUCUGUAUGUAGAUGCCUGUGGGACUGUGGUGGGAUCUUUUGAUUUAAAUCCCAUUCACAGAUAAGUGUCUGUUCUAGCACCUUUUUACCACAGCUGCCUGCUUCUGAGUAAAAAUCCAAACUGGAUGGACUAUUUAGUAGUCAGUACAUUAGUACUGACAAGUUUUGUAAUGUCUGUGCAGAGCUGACAGUAAUAGUAAUAGAUAACAGUUCUACAUUUCCAGAUAUAAACUUGUCGGUAUUCCUUCAUCCAUUUGCAGAGUGGCAGAGUACUGGAACAUCCUGCCUAGAUUGAUUGAGGAGAUUCCUUGUCUGGAGAUAUUCAAGACCUGUCUGGAUGCCUACCUGUGCAGCGUGCUGUAGGGACCGUGCUUUAGCAAAGAGGUUGAACUCAAUGGUCUCUAGAGGUCCCUUCCAACCCCUACAAUUCUGUGAGUCUGUGAGAAUUUAAUUGAGCUGGGAAUUUUUGCCACUGAAUCUCCAAGGAAGAUCCUUACACCUCAAAGUGCAGGACCACCUGAAGUUUUAGAAAUGCUUCCUAGUCUUCAUCUACUGGCAAACUAUUCAGGAGGCACAACUCAGGUGGUAGCAUGGCUACUGCUUACACUGACAGCGGGAUGAGAGAGUUUACAUUUCCUCCUGGAUUUUCCAGGUAAUCAGUAGAGAAGUCAGUUCCACAACAUGAUUAAAUCAGACGUGAUGCUGAACUUCUAGUAACUUAGUCAUCAUCGGUAGCUAUCUCAAGCCUAAGAGGAAGUGGUUGAGAUGAGAUAUUCUUUCUCUACUGAUCUCAAAAGAAAAGACCAUGAAUAAUUUUACAAGCUUCUAAUAGUUUGG